CUAGUUCAUGGUGUCAGUUUGCAGGAGGUACUUGGCACUCUCAAACCAGCCCAAGUUGGCACUGGUGCCAGCUUGGUCCUGGGAGGCAUCCUGCGAUAUGCGGAAUUUUAAAAGCCAGAAGGCUGCUCAGAGCCACCGGCCCUGCAACACCAACGCUGCCCCUUUUCCCAGUUUUCAGGAGGUACUUGGCACUCUCAAACCAGCCCAAGUUGGCACUGGUGCCAGCUUGGUCCUGGGAGGCAUCCUGCGAUAUGCGGAAUUUUAGGAGCCAGAAGGCUGCUCUGAGCCACCGGCCCUGGAACAAAAAACCGCCCCUUUUCCCAGGUAAGCAAAACUCACUAACCCUAGUUCAUGGUGUCAGUUUGCAGGAGGUACUUGGCACUCUCAAACCAGCCCAAGUUGGCACUGGUGCCAGCUUGGUCCUGGGAGGCAUCCUGCGAUAUGCGGAAUUUUAGGAGCCAGAAGGCUGCUCUGAGCCACCGGCCCUGCAACAACAACGCUGCCCCUUUUCCCAGUUUGCAGGAGGUACUUGGCACUCUCAAACCAGCCCAAGUUGGCACUGGUGCCAGCUUGGUCCUGGGAGGCAUCCUGCGAUAUGCGGAAUUUUAAAAGCCAGAAGGCUGCUCUGAGCCACAGCCCCUAGAACACAAAAACCGCCCCUUUUCCCUGGGAAAUAAAACUCACCAACCCUAGUUGAUGGUGUCAGUUUUCAGGAGGUACUUGGCACUCUCAAACCAGCCCAAGUUGGCACUGGUGCCAGCUUGGUCCUGGGAG